GUCAGAUUCCAUACUCUCAGGCCUGCUAAGCUUUCACUUUUGCCCUAAGCCUGGGUUUGAUAAUCCUUGUAAAGCACCCUGAAGGGAUAGAUGGGAGACUUACAGCAAUCAGAGUGGUAAAGACAGAGACCCCAGACUUUCCAUCUUCCUAAAAUGUCAGCCAAGGGCAACAGAAACUAGCUGGCUCAGAGUACAUAACGAAGCCUAGGGGAGGACUGGUUGUGCCAAUGCAGCUGAUGUCUGGUCAGUGAGUCAUUGGCAGUCCUGGGCCAGACGUACAUCCCCCUGUAUCCCUCUUUUUUUUUUUUUUUGCUACUUACCACGCUUUACUGGUUUAGUUUCGACAGCGCUGAAGGAGUAGCUUUGAGGAGACAAGCGCUGGGGAAGGUGUUUGAGGUCAGAUGCCCUCAUUGUGUAACGAGCAGAUCCAAAAUUCUCCACUUUCGUUUCCAGGUAAUGGACCGUAUUAUCCUUUCCUUUAGAUUAAAGAGGCCUUAAAUUCCAAAAGCCCUCUCUGCUCACAGACUCUAAACCAAUCAGGCUGUGAUGUUUCAAGGUGCUAAUGGCCUGCCAUUAAAGGUCACUGAUGUAUACACAUGCGGACCGCAAUUAAAGGCACCGUGUGGUUAAGGCACUCUCUUUUGUCUGACAAUUGCAGGCUGUCGGAGGUUGCUUUGUAUUGCAAAGAGGCACAAGGGGAGAGCUGUUAUCCAAAUCUCACCUCUGAAGGCCGCAUGUUGGCAGCAGGUUUUAGUUGCAGUACAAGAAACACAGUAUCAGAACAAAAAAAGAAGAUAUACAUGCACACACUCAACUGAGGAAAAGUUGGAAAAACUUCAGAAGGUUGAGCACCCCAUUAGAGACCCCUGCGCAAGAUGUUCCAGCAUGGGUGUUGCCAAGUUGCUCACAGCUGCUGAAUGAAGGUAAACUCAAGUCUGAUUUAAGUCUUCUUUACUCACAGUGUUGGUUUACAGGUGAUUUUUGUGUUGAAAUGCCUUUAAAAGUGAAAUCACUGUGCUGAUGCCUUAACUUAUAGAUGUCUUAAGUUGGUGUUACCUAGCUUAAUGGGGAUACAAAGAAGAGACCUAUCCUAAGAGCAAUUGAGACCGUAAAUGAGUUUGCUGCUGUUGAAAUGCUGAUCUCCUCUCUCUCCCCCCACCAUUGCCCUCUUCCCCUCUUCUUUUCCUAGCCCUAAGGCCCUACUUUCUCCUUUGCACCAGCUCUGUCAUUUUCCAGAUGCCUCCCCG
rnacentral:lncRNA from 1 species